rnacentral:rRNA from 1 species
AUGGAUUCCAUCUUAGCUAACGGAACCUGGGAGAUCACUGACCGUCCUUAUGGGUGCAAGCCUGUAGGAUGUAAGUGGGUGUUCAAGAAGAAGCUUAGACCUGAUGGUACGAUUGAAAAGUACAAGGCACGGCUUGUGGCUAAGGGUUAUACCCAGAAAGAAGGUGAAGACUUCUUUGAUACUUACUCACCCGUGGCUAGACUGACCACAAUUCAGGUGCUACUAUCACUGGCUGCCUCACAUGGUCUUCUCGUUCAUCAAAUGGACGUUAAGACGACUUUCCUCAAUGGAGAGUUGAAGGAGGAAAUUUACAUGGAUCAGCCAGAUGGUUUUAUAGUACCUGGUCAGGAAGGAAAGGUGUGCAAGUUAUUAAAGUCUUUAUAUGGCCUUAAACAAGCUCCUAAGGAGUGGCAUGAGAAGUUCGAAAGAACAUUAACUACUGUCAGCUUUGUAGUAAACGAUGGUCACAAGUGUGUGUACUAUCGCCAUGGUGGGGGCGAAGGAGUUAUUCUUAGUCUGUAUGUCGAUGACAUAUUGAUCUUUGGAACCAAACUUGAUUUAAUCAAGGAGGUUAAGGAUUUCUUAUCUCGCUGUUUUGAGAUGAAGGAUCUAGGAGUAGCUGAUGUUAUCUUAAACAUAAAGCUGUUGAGAGAUGAGAAUGGUGGGAUCACACUGCUUCAGUCUCACUAUGUGGAAAAGGUCUUGAGUCGUUUUGGGUAUAGCGACUGUACGCCUUCUCCAACUCCAUAUGAUGCUACGAGUGCCACGAGGCCUGACAUCUCAUUUGCUGUGAGUAAGCUGAGUCGGUUUGUGUCAAAACCAGGAGAUGAUCAUUGGCAUGCUCUUGAGAGAGUUAUGCGCUAUUUGAAAGGCACCGCGAGCUAUGGGAUUCACUACACCGGGUAUCCAAGGGUACUGGAGGGUUAUAGUGACUCAAACUGGAUAUCUGAUGCUGAUGAGAUUAAGGCCACAAGUGGUUAUGUUUUUACACUUGGUGGUGGCGCUGUUUCUUGGAAGUCUUGCAAGCAGACCAUGUUAACGAGGUCAACUAUGGAAGCAGAACUCAUAGCAUUAGACACUGCCACUGUUGAAGCAGAGUGGCUUCGUGAGCUCUUGAUGGACUUACCUAUGGUUGAAAAACCAAUACCCCCUAUCCUGAUGAAUUGUGAUAAUCAAACUGUGAUCGUCAAGAUAAACAGUUCUAAGGACAAUAUGAAGUCCUCAAGGCAUGUGAAGAGGAGACUAAAAUCUGUCAGAAAAUUGAGGAACUCCGGAGUUAUUACGUUGGAUUAUAUCCAAACAUCGAAAAAUUUGGCAGAUCCCUUCACAAAGGGUCUAUCACGUAAUGUGAUAGAUAAUGCAUCGAUGGAGAUGGUUCUGAGAGCCACAGCAUGA